UGAGGAAUAUUGGUCAAUGGGCGAGAGCCUGAACCAGCCAAGUAGCGUGAAGGAUGAAGGUCCUACGGAUUGUAAACUUCUUUUAUACGGGAAUAAAGUAUCCUACGUGUAGGAUUUUGUAUGUACCGUAUGAAUAAGCAUCGGCUAACUCCGUGCCAGCAGCCGCGGUAAUACGGAGGAUGCGAGCGUUAUCCGGAUUUAUUGGGUUUAAAGGGAGCGCAGACGGGAGAUUAAGUCAGUUGUGAAAGUUUGCGGCUCAACCGUAAAAUUGCAGUUGAUACUGGAUGUCUUGAGUGCAGUUGAGGCAGGCGGAAUUCGUGGUGUAGCGGUGAAAUGCUUAGAUAUCACGAAGAACUCCGAUUGCGAAGGCAGCCUGCUAAGCUGCAACUGACAUUGAGGCUCGAAAGUGUGGGUAUCAAACAGGAUUAGAUACCCUGGUAGUCCACACGGUAAACGAUGAAUACUCGCUGUUUGCGAUAUACGGCAAGCGGCCAAGCGAAAGCGUUAAGUAUUCCACCUGGGGAGUACGCCGGCAACGGUGAAACUCAAAGGAAUUGACGGGGGCCCGCACAAGCGGAGGAACAUGUGGUUUAAUUCGAUGAUACGCGAGGAACCUUACCCGGGCUUAAAUUGCACUCGAAUGAUCCGGAAACGGUUCAGCUAGCAAUAGCGAGUGUGAAGGUGCUGCAUGGUUGUCGUCAGCUCGUGCCGUGAGGUGUCGGCUUAAGUGCCAUAACGAGCGCAACCCUUGUUGUCAGUUACUAACAGGUGAUGCUGAGGACUCUGACAAGACUGCCAUCGUAAGAUGUGAGGAAGGUGGGGAUGACGUCAAAUCAGCACGGCCCUUACGUCCGGGGCUACACACGUGUUACAAUGGGGGGUACAGAGGGCCGCUACCACGCGAGUGGAUGCCAAUCCCUAAAACCCCUCUCAGUUCGGACUGGAGUCUGCAACCCGACUCCACGAAGCUGGAUUCGCUAGUAAUCGCGCAUCAGCCACGGCGCGGUGAAUACGUUCCC
rnacentral:rRNA from 1 species